rnacentral:rRNA from 1 species
AAUCAACGCUGGCGGCGUGCCUAACACAUGCAAGUCGAACGCGAAAGUCCCGCAAGGGAUGAGUAGAGUGGCAAACGGGUGAGUAACACGUGGGUGAUCUACCUUCGAGUGGGGGAUAACGUUCCGAAAGGAGCGCUAAUACCGCAUGACGUUCCGGGGUUGAAGACCUGGAAACCAAAGCCGGGACCGCAAGGCCUGGCGCUAGGAGAGGAGCCCGCGCCUGAUUAGCUGGUUGGUGAGGUAAUGGCUCACCAAGGCGACGAUCAGUAGCCGGCCUGAGAGGGCGGACGGCCACACUGGGACUGAGACACGGCCCAGACUCCUACGGGAGGCAGCAGUGGGGAAUUGUUCGCAAUGGGCGCAAGCCUGACGACGCAACGCCGCGUGGAGGAUGAAGGUCUUCGGAUUGUAAACUCCUGUUGACCGGGAAGAAUGGGCUCCGAGCUAAUACAUUGGAGCAAUGACGGUACCGGUUGAGGAAGCCACGGCUAACUCUGUGCCAGCC